UACGUAGGUGGCGAGCGUUUGUCCGGAUUUACUGGGCGUAAAGGGCGUGCAGGCGGUCUGCUAAGUCUAGGGUGAAAAGCCCCCGGCUCAACUGGGGAGGGUCACGCGAUACUGAUCGACUCGAAGGCAGGAGAGGGUAGUGGAAUUCCCGGUGUAGUGGUGAAAUGCGUAGAUAUCGGGAGGAACACCAGUGGCGAAGGCGACUACCUGGCCUGUUCUUGACUGCUGAGGC
rnacentral:rRNA from 1 species